rnacentral:lncRNA from 1 species
GGGGGGGAUAAACUUCAAAAGAAGGUCGGUUUAGUGUCAUAUGCAAUCGUUUUAUUUUACAAUGUUUUGAUUACAAAGCUUACACUAUAAAUCAUGAUCAAUCACGAAACAUCGACAACAGAACAUACCUCAAAGACUUCCAUUGUAUCCGCAAUACUUAAAAAAACGGGAUUCAUCAUAGAAAUAAAAGAUCUAUUACAGCACACAGACAAUCUUUGCUAAGUGUUGAUAAAGUACGAUUUUGAUUUGAGGAACACACAAUAAGGAAAACAUCCACA